UAUCUGUCUUAAAUUAACUUUUCUGUUUACAAAGGAACUGUUGGCAUCUUCUUGCCACCCUAACAUGGGUGACACACCUCUUAAACCCAGGAUUGAAAAGAAAGGUCUUAUUUCAAGUGUUAGCAAAUGACUGUUAUUUCUUUUUUGCUAUGUUAUUUUAAGAAAUAUUUUUUUCAAAUUCAUAGAGCAAAUAUAUUUGGUGGUUAAUAUUUCAUUAUUUAUAUGGCAUUUUUAUAGCAAUCGUAUUUGUUUCAUAAGCACUUAAGCAUCUACAUUGUUAUAUGCUGCAAUAGAAGUUAUAAUUAUCUCUCAGGAUCAAGGGGAAAAUUAAGUUGAUAAAGAUCUAUAAGUGUAUAUGAGACACUUAAAAUAGUAGCCAUGUCCCUAUUCAUUUCUAUGUUACCAUCAGUUUUUCCUCAAUAAAGUAUCGCCCUCACGAUGAAGACGUCUGAAUGAUGUUUACAAAUUUCCUCCUGCCUCAGCCUCCAGUCCUGAGGUCAUAGACAUUGAGCCCCCAUCUUGCCUGGGUGUGUUUUAACUUUGCCUUAGAGUGGCACAGGGCAACAGUGUUGCUUUUUCUGUGACUGUAACUGCUAUUACUAGUAGCAUUCCUGUUUUCUGCACAUAGCAAACCUUUCCGCUGGGCAGACAAGGCUGCAAGUUGUAAUUAUGCUGUGGCAACCAGAGUCAACCGCCACUGUCCCUGGAAAAAGCAUUUUGUGCUUGUAGGGCAUUCUUAUAAAAUUAACAUCCAAAUAGCUUCUCAAGUCUCUCCUCCAUCAGUGUGGCCUUGUUCUCACAGUCAGGCUUCAAGACCAUUGAAUAGGAAUGUCACAACUAAUGCCUCUACCAGGCAUCCAAGCAAAGUGACUGCCAAUAUGCGUGCCAUGCUUUUUAAGCCUCAAUGAAAUUCCAGUUAGAAAUCUUGUAAGGUUUUUCAGUGGCUGGUGACAGCUCCUAAGAGGGUCGGAAGAUCAAGCCCUGGCUGCCAAGAAAAGUAUACACAUGGGUUUUUGUUUAUUUGUUUGUUUGUUUGUCGUCCCCCUCCCCUCCUAUACACACCAAGAAGAAGCAGUGACUUGGGGGAAGGGAAGAAAACAGAGGUGACUUCUGCUCAUAUUGGGCCACGCUUCUGUGUGUUCCUGCUUUGAUGGCGUUGAGGAACUCUCGCUGUGUGUAAACAGUUCUGGUUACUUUAGGAUUCUUUCCUUAGCAGGGAGCCCAUCUCUAUCAGCUCAUGAUGAAAAUGUCCGUGUAAUUGCUACUUCUUAUUCCUAUGUCUCCCAUUAUCAGAAAGCCUAGGUUCAGCUCAGAGCAUUGAGAUGCCUUAGUUGUCAAGGGCAGCUCCUUAAAUGCUUUUCCACUGUACACCAAGAGAUCCGUUUUCCCCCUACUUGUUUGCUUACUGUGAAUGCUGUAAUCAUUCACUAAAAGUCUGACAGUCAGGUUUGCUAGGUGCUUAGAGGAGUGUCCAGAUGGGUGAAAGAUAUAGUUACAUAUAACCUGAUGUGUUGCAACAUGCCUGUAAUCUCAGCAGUUGGGAGGUGAACAGAGGAGAAUCAGGGGUUUGAGACCAACCUGAGCUAUGUAGGGAGUUUCAAGCCAGCCUGAGCUACAUAAGCCCUAGCUUUUCAGGGGAGGGGGAGGGGGAGAGAAGCAGGGAGGAGACAUAGUAGUAUAUGGUAUGUUUCAGUGAGGAAGAAGUAAGCGUUUUGACAUCACAGUGUAGUCUUAGGAAACUGAUACAUAGGUACUAUUUCUUCUUUAGAAGAAUUAUCUUGUCUGGUUUCUAGGAAUUUUCCUGACUCAUCUCAAAUCCUGGGAACUCUUAACAUCUAUCAAAGUGCAUAAAUCAGUACUGGUUUCUUAAGUCAGUUUUCAAAAUACUAUCUCUUGUAGUCAACGUGUCAUAAAGUGUAAUUUAUAAUCACACGUGUAAAUCCUAACCUUUUAGAUACCCCUGAUGGCUCGCUCUUCUCUGUAAGGUCUCUCUUACCUAGUCCAACCUUCUAGAGAUGCGUUUUGAGCUCUUGUAUGGCAGUUGUUUCCACCGCUUACUUUAUCCUUCUGAUUCGUGGUGGUCCAUUCCUACUACCGCAGCUCCUCGCUGUUCGUUAAGCAUUUAUUAGCAUUCCUGGUUCAGAACCUCGUCCACUCCUGUGUUGCAGUGCACAGUCUGGGGAUUUCUGCCUUUAUUCCAAAAUCCUCUGUGAUAGUUAGUGCACCUUCAUAAUCUAUGGUGGACAUUUUCCACCUGUGCUGAACUAUAGAUAACCGAGGUUAGUUAAUGUUAAUUUUAUAUUGGACGUCUGUAGGUGCAUCAGUGUGAGGUCUCUGUUUUGUAGUGGAACAAGAUGCAGAUAGGUUCCUGGAUUUCCUAACCUCUUAGAACACAAAUCAGGUCCCAGUCCUUCUUUAGAGACACUGAGUGGAGCAUAGCUUCAAUUGUCCCCUCCCUACUUUCCAUCUGUUCUUAUGACAAGGACAAAAACCUAACAAGGACAGGGUAACAUGACAUCGCCAAAGGUGAAAUGGCCACGGUUUAUCUCUGACAUAGGAAGGACAUUCUUGAACUAUGAAGAAGGCGGUUCUUUUUGAAGUGCCGUGCUUUUAGAUCAUCCCAUAGAUAAAGCGUUGGCUUAUUGGCUUUUCAUUCCUCUUCGGAGGCAGCUUGGGUCUUGUUAUCAGCACCAUGUCUUCCCCAUCACCUUACCGUUAUCGAUGAAACCCUUUGCUGGGAGAUUCAUGCUCCCUACUCCUCGGACUUUCUUCCUCUAUUGUUACCCUGGGAGUUGUGAAGUCCAAAGUUCCGACCCCACAGACAUAUGUUUUCAGGCUGUCUCGAGUGCAAACUGAAGUGCCUAUUUGCUUAAGGGAGCCCUGAGUCUGCCCUCUUGCUGCUUCCUGACGAUGCUGCGCAAGUGCACGUUUUAUCUUCUCUCCAGGAUCUGUAUUUUCUUAAGCAAGACUCCUUAAGCACUUCCUGUUUGCUUUUGUCGGUUCUUUCUGGAGUU
rnacentral:lncRNA from 1 species